rnacentral:RNase_P_RNA from 1 species
UGAGUUGGUUAGACAAUCGCUGGUUUAUUGAAGCCCUUAACCGCCUUCGGGCGACCUAGUGGGACAAGUAAACGAGAGGAAAGUCCGAGCUACAUAGGGCAGAGUGCCAGAUAACGUCUGGGAGGCGUGAGCCUACGACCAGUGCAACAGAGAGCAGACCGCCAGCUUCGGCUGGUAAGGGUGAAAGGGUGCGGUAAGAGCGCACCGUGCGGCUGGUAACAGUUCGCAGCAGGGUAAACUCCACUCGUAGCAAGACCAAAUAGGAACUCAAUGGGUGGCCCGCCCAGAGUUCGGGUAGGUUGCUUGAACAGCAUAGCGAUGUGUUGUCUAGAUGAAUGAUUGUCCACGACAGAACUCGGCUUAUCGACCAACUCACCUC